CCAGACUCCUACGGGAGGCAGCAGUGGGGAAUAUUGCGCAAUGGGCGAAAGCCUGACGCAGCGACGCCGCGUGAAGGAAGAAGGGUUUCGGCUCGUAAACUUCUAUCAACAGGGACGAAAGAAAUGACGGUACCUGACUAAGAAGCCCCGGCUAACUACGUGCCAGCAGCCGCGGGAAUACGUAGGGGGCAAGCGUUAUCCGGAUUCACUGGGUGUAAAGGGAGCGUAGACGGCGACGCAAGUCUGGAGUGAAAGCCCGGGGCCCAACCCCGGGACUGCUCUGGAAACUGCGGCGCUGGAGUACGGGAGGGGCAGGCGGAAUUCCUGGUGUAGCGGUGAAAUGCGUAGAUAUCAGGAGGAACACCGGCGGCGAAGGCGGCCUGCUGGACCGUGACUGACGUUGAGGCUCGAGAGCGUGGGGAGCAAACAGGAUUAGAUACCCCCGUA
rnacentral:rRNA from 1 species